rnacentral:rRNA from 1 species
UACACUCCUACGGGAGGCAGCAGUGGGGAAUUUUGGACAAUGGGCGAAAGCCUGAUCCAGCAAUGCCGCGUGAGUGAAGAAGGCCUUCGGGUUGUAAAGCUCUUUUGUCGGGGAAGAAACGGUGAGAGCUAAUAUCUCUUGCUAAUGACGGUACCUGAAGAAUAAGCACCGGCUAACUACGUGCCAGCAGCCGCGGUAAUACGUAGGGUGCAAGCGUUAAUCGGAAUUACUGGGCGUAAAGCGUGCGCAGGCGGUUUUGUAAGUCUGAUGUGAAAUCCCCGGGCUCAACCUGGGAAUUGCAUUGGAGACUGCAAGGCUAGAAUCUGGCAGAGGGGGGUAGAAUUCCACGUGUAGCAGUGAAAUGCGUAGAUAUGUGGAGGAACACCGAUGGCGAAGGCAGCCCCCUGGGUCAAGAUUGACGCUCAUGCACGAAAGCGUGGGGAGCAAACAGGAUUAGAUACCCCAGUAGUCCCAUG